rnacentral:lncRNA from 1 species
AGGUCUUUAUUAGAUCACCUAGUGGCCCAGUGGUUAAAAGCAUAAACUUGGGAGAUAGACAAACCUGCAUUUCAAUCUCUGCUGGAAUACUCAGCCACUGUGUGACCUCAGCCCUAAGCCCUGAAAUGCGUAUCAUCUGGCACAAAGACAUCGUUUACAUUUGUUGAAUAGCUGCGUGCUUAGACUUGAUCCGAUCUUAUUCACCACUUAUACUGAUGUGUAUCUUUGGAACUCACAACAAGCAAUAUAAACCAUCAACAAAACCAGACCUCAGGAGUCUUUCUGCCCUACAUUUUAGAAGGACACAUUCUGCCCUGAGCAGGAUGAUAGGAAUAAAGAAACAGCACUUUGGGAGGCCGAGGCAGGC